GACUGUCGCGCCGGUGGUGGUGGUGGGGGUCGCAGGGCAUUUGGCACUGGUUACAGGCGUGAUGAGGGAGGACAGGAUAGCUACCGGCAAGAUGGCUACCGACAGGAUAGCUACUGACAGGAUGACACCAGGGUAGUGGGGAAGUUGAUACUGAAGUUGAUACUGAAACCCCGUAGCCUACCUAAAGAGGUGGAGUAGAGCAGCACCCUGUCUGCCCCCUCGGACAGGGCUGCCUCCAUCUUCGGUGGGGCCAAGCCAGUGGACAAGGCUGCCAAGGAGAGAGAGGUGGAGGAGAGGCUGAAGAGGGAACAAGAAAAACUGCAGCGAGAGCUAGAAGACAGAAUCACAGACCACAAUCCCAGAGAGAGGCACCCCAGCUGGCGCAGUGAGGACCAACCGGCAGGAUGCUCUCAGACUGGCAGUGAGUUUUCCCAAACCAGGCAGCCGUGGCCAAUCCUGCAGAGCCUCCAAGCGCAGGGAGAGCGAGCGCUCGGUGGACAGUGGGCGUGAAGAGGAGCCCUCCUCCCCUGUGGCCGAGCCCUCCCAGACAAGACAGUCCGCCUCGCUCCACCUCCCAAGGAGAACGCCUGGGCCAAGAGGACCACGCCCGUUGGGGGCUCCAGUGAGGGCGAGGCCCGGCCACCGUCUCCCCCAGCAAUGACACACCCCUACAGCUCACCAGCUUAGCUGAUGAUGAAGUGCCUCAGGCAGAUAAAGAAGAGGUCGAUCGCAGCGAAUAGAUACAGUAUGCAGCCUUGACAUAAUGGACGCAGACCCACAUGACAAUAUGGAGGACAAUGCAUGGUGAGGGUGAAUGAAAGAAGUGAAGAAGAUGGAAGAUGCAAAGAAUGAGGUCUGCCCAACCUGGCUGGAGCAGCUCUACAGCUCCCUUCCUGCUAACCUGCUUAAAGAGAAACCCAACCCAUUGCCGGCUGGAUGCACCUUCAAGAUUGGACCUAAACAUAGAGAAAUACUAGUCUGGGUACCAGUCUUUUUAGCUAACAUUCCACUUCUUGUCACUCCUGACAAUUUGCCAAAUCUUUGGCAAGGAGUGGUAUGUAAUAUAUCAAAACAGAGACAGCGACCAGGCUAGAGAAAUGCUGGACGGGUUUUUAAUAAGGUUGAAUUUGUCAUUAUAAAUUAAAUGUAAAAGGUGGGGUUGAGAGAUGUGUAGCUACAUGCGUCUUCACCACCCGCCAGUCUAGAUGCUGGACUAUGUAGGUUCUCUGAGCUCUAAACCUGGUUAUACUAAUGCUGGAGGGUCUACCUCAGAGGGACAGACUGGAGUUUUAAAUCAAAGAAAAGACAGGAAAGUCCCCUGUUUUAGGGGGCUUUUGCUGACAUACAUUAACAAAAAAAAUGUACUGUGGGGGAUGCGAUGUUUGUGUUUCUCUGAUCAUCAUCUGUAGCCGUCAUUAACUGGAUCUUUUCAGCCACCGUCCCAAUAUACCGCCAAUGGCUUCCUCUCCAGAAAGGAAACGCUUCCUUCCUUACGCCUCAUCCGGACCUGCCUGAAAAUCUCCUGGCAACCAUGUCAUGAAAAAAAUUGUGUGAACUGUCCUAAACGUAUUGGAGGCAUGAUCUUCACUCACUCUUAUCCAUGGGCCAUGUGUUGACUGGAAUUGAAUGCAGAGGGUGUUUUUAACAUUGUAUGUACUGUAUGUAACCCCACUAUCCCAAGUGAAGAAGCACAUCUCAUUGGAUGUUUGUUUCUCUAUGUAACGUGCAUGACUGUGGAAACAGACUCAUGUGGUUCUUUAAGCCAUGGGAAUGUUGAGAUGGAUUUAAUCAACUCCAUGUGGGUGGGUCACAGAGUGGGAGAGAUUUACCAAAGUGGAUGUAAGGAAUGUAUUUUAUGGUAUACCACUACUAAAUUAUGCAGUUGUGAUUUUCUGAAUCUAACCCCUCACUUCACAGCUUAAAGCAUUCACCCAUUUUUUCAGUUUUUUCUGUUGAACUGGGCUAUAAGUUUCUCUGUCACAUUUUAGGUUCUCUUGUUCACUUCAAAUAGAUGAAAAUACAAUAUUUGACUAUUGAUCUUGUAAUAUCCUGUAUAUCCUAACCACCCCUUCCACCACACCCCUGAACCCUGUGACCUUAAGCUGGGUUUUGGCCCAGAUUGUGACCUCUGACAUUCAGUUCUCCACUUCAGAACGCUGAUGGGAAACAGGCAUUGCUGUGUAACUGAGGAGAGAGGGAGCGAUGGGAGUAAGCUGUGGUCUGAGGAUGGUGUGGGUCCUGAGGCAUGUACUGUAGUCUGAGGAUGGUGUGGGUCCUGAGGUAUGUACUGUAGUCUGAGGAUGGCGUGGGUCCUGAGGUAUAUACUGUAGUCUGAGGAUGGCGUGGGUCCUGAGGUAUAUACUGUAGUCUGAGGAUGGUGUGGGUCCUGAGGUAUAUACUGUAGUCUGAGGAUGGUGUGGGUCCUGAGGUAUAUACUGUAGUCUGAGGAUGGCGUGAGUCCUGAGGUAUAUACUGUAGUCUGAGGAUGGCGUGGGUCCUGAGGUAUAUACUGUAGUCUGAGGAUGGCGUGGGUCCUGAGGUAUAUACUGUGGUCUGAGGAUGGCGUGAGUCCUGAGGUAUAUACUGUAGUCUGAGGAUGGCGUGGGUCCUGAGGUAUAUACUGUGGUCUGAGGAUGGCGUGGGUCCUGAGGUAUAUACUGUAGUCUGAGGAUGGCGUGGGUCCUGAGGUAUAUACUGUAGUCUGAGGAUGGCGUGGGUCCUGAGGUAUAUACUGUAGUCUGAGGAUGGCGUGGGUCCUGAGGAGUCUACUGUAGUCUGAGGAUGGUGUGGGUCCUGAGGUAUAUACUGUGGUCUGAGGAUGGCAUGGGUCCUGAGGUAUAUACUGUGGUCUGAGGAUGGCGUGGGUCCUGAGGAGUCUACUGUAGUCUGAGGAUGGCGUGGGUCCUGAGGUAUAUACUGUAGUCUGAGGAUGGUGUGGGUCCUGAGGUAUAUACUGUGGUCUGAGGAUGGCGUGGGUCCUGAGGUAUAUACUGUGGUCUGAGGAUGGCGUGGGUCCUGAGGUAUAUACUGUGGUCUGAGGAUGGCGUGGGUCCUGAGGUAUAUACUGUGGUCUGAGGAUGGCGUGGGUCCUGAGGUAUAUACUGUGGUCUGAGGAUGGCGUGGGUCCUGAGGUAUAUACUGUGGUCUGAGGAUGGCGUGGGUCCUGAGGCAUAUACUGUAGUCUGAGGAUGGCGUGGGUCCUAGUCUGGGGGGGAUC